rnacentral:sRNA from 1 species
UGCCUCUUUCUUUUAUUCCUUUCUUUUUCUUUCUUUUUUCCUCUCUUUCUCCUUCCUUUCUUUCUUUUGUGAAACAGCCCAAAGGUUCUUUGUGAAUCUCACAUGCACCCCAACCCCACUCAUCUCCCCCUCCCUUCAUACCCGCUCUCUACCCUUGCAGCAUGCCCCACAACAGAGGAAAAAUCUAGAGGUGGAAGCUGCAGUGUGUCACAGCACGUCCCACAGAAUUCCCUUUUGUCCACACUUUUUUGCUUGCAAAGGUUCACUGCAAUGAUUCAUUGGUCUGGUGUGAGGCCUCUGGCUUCUGCGACUCUGUCGGUACUGGAUCCUCACUGGGACUCAGAUAUCCUAUUUUUCAUCUGUAGGGACAGCGUCUUCAUACACUCCAGCAGCUCAUCCAUCGAUGGGAUAACUCUAGUGUGUGUCAAGUUGACACAAGACUGGCCAGCACAACUGAACCCUCGUCAACUUGACACAUGAACACAGAUCACUGUGAGUCAACCUUUCCUUUCUGAUUUAUGCUCAAGAUCUCACAAUAAAAAUGCAGAUAACUUUACAAGUUCAGUCUUCCGGGUUUGCGCUUCUACAGAAAUCAAAAUUAUAUUAAAUACCUUCCUCAAGAGAGAAGGAUCAGGCCACAGUCACAGCAUGAACAAAGCAAAACCAAACUCCAACAGUGUAAAGAACUCCAUGUCCAGUCACCUGGGAUUCACUCACAAUCUUCUGGGCUCCUCCAAGGAACUCAGUCACUUCUCUGGCUUUCCCCUCUGCAGCACACACAGCUUGUCUUCUAGGCUCCUGCGGGUUCUACUUCACUGCUGUUGGUGGUCAGAUCAUGGCACCAACAUCUCCAAAACCCUGGGGUCUUCUACUGCAGCUGCGCUGCAGUUUCGCCAAUAGCCUCUCAUUCAUUCUCUUCCUGGUGCCAAGCCUCAACUUCUUUGCAUGACCCCUUCAGUCCCGGGCCUUCAACUGCCACGAAGGCUACACCUUCACUAAUGGCCUUUCCUGGACUCUCACAGUUCCAAACCUCAGCUGCUGUCCAUGACCCCUUUUAUGCCUCAAAACCAGCACAAGGUACAACCUCAGCUGCUUCUAGAACACGGCUUCGGUGUGCUGACCCUGAGGAAACACUUCCCAGAAGAUUUCACCUCAGUGGUGCUGGCCUCUUCUCAAUCACCUCUGAUUUCUUAGGUCCAGCUGACCAGCAUCAAUUGUCCCAGUAAUGAAAAUGUUUCACUUCAGCGUUGCUGGUCUCUUGUUAAUUACAGCUGACUCUUCAGCUCCAGCUGAGCAAAUCGAAAGACUCUCAAUUCAAAAUAGCAAACGUCUCUCUGAUAAAAGCCUUUACACAA